GGGGAGGCCGGAUCCUGGGCUGUGUCCCGGCGCCCUGUGCUCCGGAGCCUGCGCUGUUGGAUUCGCGCUCCAGCCACGCAGCCCCCU
rnacentral:pre_miRNA from 1 species